AUUUUGAAUCACUUCGGAAGAAUUACUUACUACCGACUAUAGAGUAUUUUAAUGGAGGACCACCUGCUGAAACAGAUUUUGGAGGAGAUUAUGGUGGCACUCAAUAUGGACUUGUGGUCUUCAACACAGUGGAUUGUGCUCCAGAAUCUUACGUCCAGUGCCAUGCUCCCACCAGCUCCGCUUUUGAGUUUGUCUCUUGGAUUGACAG